CUGAGCGUCCCCAUUGGUGUGAGCGCGGAGUCUCCUGCGGGCUCUGCUGGUCACUAAAAUGUGUCUGACGGUGAGAACAUUGAGCAGCAGAAUCAGGAGAAAUGGGACACCCGGGGUUAGAAUGUGGUGGAGGAACUCGAUUGUGACCCCGACACUGGAGUAACGAACAGCGCCUGUUACAUCACAAAACCAGGGGGCGUUCCCCAGCCAAUACCGAGCCCUUCUGGCAACAAAUGGCCACAAACCGAUCAAAGGUGAAAGUGACGGUGAACCAGACAGAGCAGUCAGUGGCUGCAUAAAGCAGGACGGCGUGGAUAUUACACACGGGGACGGAGUACAGGAAAUAAAACUGUUCCUGAUAAACAAUGGGAAUGUGUCUCAGGAUCAGGUCGAGGAUAAUGACCAGGAGAUCCGCCGCUGCCAUGGCCCCCAGAAUCCCAGCAGUGUGGAAACAAGCCCUUCGGCCCAACAAGUACAUACCAACCUUCCAAAGAGUAACCUUCCCAUGGCCUUACAGUUACCACUGACUGAUGAACCUAAAGUAGAAAUCGCUGAACACUAUGGACUAUUUGACCAAUCCACUUGAAUUAUACAGCUUUGGGCUGUGGGAGGAAACGGGAGCACCCAUCAGAAGCUCACGCAGACAAGGGGAGAAGAUGCAAACUCCACGCAGAUAGUCGCCCGAGGCUGGAAUUGAACUCAUGUCCCUGAUGCUGUGAUGGAACAGUGUGAACUACUGAGCCACUGUGCUAACCUGGACCCUCCUGCCAGCCUAAUGCAAAGGGAAUUCAGCCAAAUCCAACUCUCCCAGGAUAAAAUCCCAUUGCUAGCAGCUGUGUGAGUACAAUAUCUUCAGAAGCAGAAUAACAUUUUGGACAAUCUCUCAAUUUUUCCUUUUGUCAUGAGUUCCAAUAAUAUCUGGACAAGUUUCUUUCAAUGUGAAAUUGCAGAGAUUUUGUUUAUUUUGUGUGUGUCUGUGUGUGUGUCUGUGUGUGUGUCUGUGUGUGUGUGUGUGUGUGUGUGUGUGUGUGUGUGUCAGUGUUUUUGGAACGGGAAAUAUUGAAUCUUUCUUUGCAAUACCAGACUUAUAGUCCAUCAAGUAAGCUAGCUGUGUUUCAGGAUGUCCAAGAAUGUAGGGAGGCUGUGGAGAAGGUAGCACUGACAGGGAAUACUUGUGGACACAGAGAUGGGCUCAAGUGCGUAUGCUUCAAGGCAAGAAGUAUCAGAAAUAAGGUGGGUGAACUUAAGGCGUGGAUCGGUACCUGGGACUACGAUGUUGUGGCCAUCGCGGAAACGUGGAUAGAUGAGGGACAGGAAUGGUUGUUGGAGGUUCCUGGU